rnacentral:lncRNA from 1 species
UGGUAUAAACCUCUCUCGAAUGAAUCUCAACAAUCUUAUCAUUAUCCCCUAACCCAAUAGAUGUAAUCAAUUCCAAUGAAUCUUCCAGCCCAUUUUCUUCAUAAACACCUAAAAUCCUCUCAUCAUCUUGCAAUGUACCUAUCUUGCGUAACUGUCGUUCAAUAUCAUAUAAUCUUUUUCUUUCUUUUCUUUUAAAAUCAUCAACUUUCUUAUACAUAAUAUUUCCAUUCUCCAAUAUACCAAUAAAACUCGCAUCAAAGGCACCUUCAUCUCGCGAGAGUA